AGGUUUUGUCCACAAAAAAUUUCAAGGGACUGACACAAUUUUUAUACGACCGCAAAAAAAUUUUGUGGUCGUAUAUUGGUAUGACGUUGGCGUCGUCGUCGUCCGGCGUCGUCGUCCGAAUACACAUUGGUUUUCGCACUCUAACUUUAGUUUAAGUGAAUGGAUCUCUAUGAAAUUUUACCAUAAGGUUCAAUACCACAAAAGGAAGGUGGGGAUUGAUUUUGGGGGUUAUGGUACCAACAGUUAAGGAAUUAUGGGCCAAAAAGGGGCCAAAAAUAAGCAUUUUUGUAACUUCCAGACAUAACUUGUGUGUUAGUGUAUGGAUCUCUCUGACAUUGUACCACAAGGUUCCAUAUCACAAAGGGAAUGCUGGGAUUGAUUUUUGGGGUAAUUGCCUCCAAAUUUUAGGAAUUAGGGGCCAAAAAGGGGAAAAAAACAAGCAUUUUUCUAGUUUCAUGACAAUAACUUGUGUGUAAGUGUAUGGAUCUGUCUGACAUUGUACCAUAAGGUUCCAUAUCACAAAGGGAAAGCUGGAAUUGAUUUUGGGGGUAAUUGCCCACAACGUUUAGGAAUAAGAGGCCAAAAAGGGGCCAAAAAUAAGCAUUUUUCUAGUUUCCAGACAAUAACUUGUGUUCAAGUGUAUGGAUCUCUCUGAAAUUGUACUGCAAGGUACCAAACCACAAAGGGAAGGCUGGGAUUGAUUUUGGGGAUAAUUCCCUAGAAAUUUGAGGAAUUAGGGGCCAUAAAGGGGCAAAAAAACAAGCAUUUUUCUAGUUUCAGGACAAUAACUUGUGUGUAAGUGUAUGGAUCUUUCUGAAAUUGUACUGCAAGGUUCCAUAUCACAAAGGGAAUGCUGGGUUUGAGUUUGGGGGUAAUUGCCCUAAAUGUUUAGGAAUUUGGGGCCAAAAAACAAGCAUUUCCAGACAAUAACUUGUGUUCAAGUGUAUGGAUCUCUCUGAAAUUGUACAGUUCAUACAUGUGAACCUCCCGACGGGAGUACAAUAAUCCCGUUUUCAGGGGUCUCCUCCCGACCUCCAGUUGAAGACAAAAAAAUCCCGUGUAUGAAAUAUUUCAUGAAUGAAAAAUUUCAGCCAAACAUAUCUGGUGUAACUGACAUUACUGAAGUUAUAUUUUACCUGUAAAUCAAUUAAAAUGCAUAAUUAUAUGGCCUCACUUGUCACCUUGGGUGUCAAACAUACUGGUAAUAAACGAUUUUUACCUCAGGCUAACUGCCGUUGUGUAAUAAAACUUUGUUUAUUUAAAAUGAAUGUUGGGUUACUUCCCUUGAUUUAUCCUGUUUUAAGUUACUUCUUUAAAUAAUGUAAAUUUUUAAAAGAAUAUAAAUAAAAUAUAAAUUGAACAAAUAAUCAUAAAAGGGUGGUAAUUAAAUGAUUUUAAAUGUUUUAGGACAAAUAAAAAAAUAAUAAUUUGAAAAUUAUUUGAGGGUUCUAUACUUCCUUUCAAGGCUUAAAUUGAAAUUUAUAUAAUAACUAUGACCCAUGAUUACAGUUUGAAUGUGUUACUUAUCAUGCAUUAAAAA